rnacentral:tRNA from 1 species
GUCUCAGUAGCUUAGUCGGUAAAGCGACAGUCUCACAUAAAUAGGUGGUUCCAAGUUCGAUCCCUACCCUGGUCA